UAGUAUAGCAAUCUAUACAGUGAAACUGCGAAUGGCUCAUUAAAUCAGUUAUCGUUUAUUUGAUAGUACCUUACUACUUGGAUAACCGUGGUAAUUCUAGAGCUAAUACAUGCUAAAAACCCCGACUUCGGAAGGGGUGUAUUUAUUAGAUAAAAAACCAAUGCUCUUCGGGGCUCCUUGGUGAUUCAUGAUAACUUAACGAAUCGCAUGGCCUUGUGCCGGCGAUGGUUCAUUCAAAUUUCUGCCCUAUCAACUUUCGAUGGUAGGAUAGUGGCCUACCAUGGUUUCAACGGGUAACGGGGAAUUAGGGUUCUAUUCCGGAGAGGGAGCCUGAGAAACGGCUACCACAUCCAAGGAAGGCAGCAGGCGCGCAAAUUACCCAAUCCCGACACGGGGAGGUAGUGACAAUAAAUACUGAUACAGGGCUCUUUUGGGUCUUGUAAUUGGAAUGAGUACAAUUUAAAUCCCUUAACGAGGAACAAUUGGAGGGCAAGUCUGGUGCCAGCAGCCGCGGUAAUUCCAGCUCCAAUAGCGUAUAUUAAAGUUGUUGCAGUUAAAAAGCUCGUAGUUGAACCUUGGGCCUGGCUGGCCGGUCCGCCUCACCGCGUGCACUGGUCCGGCCGGGCCUUUCCUCCUGGGGAGCCGCAUGCCCUUCACUGGGUGUGUCGGGGAACCAGGACUUUUACUUUGAAAAAAUUAGAGUGUUCAAAGCAGGCCUAUGCUCGAAUACAUUAGCAUGGAAUAAUAGAAUAGGACGUGUGGUUCUAUUUUGUUGGUUUCUAGGACCGCCGUAAUGAUUAAUAGGGAUAGUCGGGGGCAUCAGUAUUCAAUUGUCAGAGGUGAAAUUCUUGGAUUUAUUGAAGACUAACUACUGCGAAAGCAUUUGCCAAGGAUGUUUUCAUUAAUCAGUGAACGAAAGUUAGGGGAUCGAAGACGAUCAGAUACCGUCGUAGUCUUAACCAUAACUAUGCCGACUAGGG
rnacentral:rRNA from 1 species